GAUGAACGCUAGCGGGAGGCUUAACACAUGCAAGUCGUGGGGCAGCACGGGGUAGCAAUACUCUGGUGGCGACCGGCGCACGGGUGAGUAACGCGUAUGCAACCUACCCAGUACAGGGGGAUAGCCCGGAGAAAUUCGGAUUAAUACCCCAUAAUGAUAUUAAGAGGCAUCUUUUAAUAUUUAAAGCUUCGGCGGUACUGGAUGGGCAUGCGUAAGAUUAGCUAGUUGGUAGGGUAACGGCCUACCAAGGCUCCGAUCUUUAGGGGUCCUGAGAGGGUGAUCCCCCACACUGGUACUGAGACACGGACCAGACUCCUACGGGAGGCAGCAGUGAGGAAUAUUGGUCAAUGGGCGCAAGCCUGAACCAGCCAUCCCGCGUGAAGGAAGAAGGCGCUAUGCGUCGUAAACUUCUUUUCCGGAGGAAUAAAAUCUUGUACGCGUACAGGACUGAAGGUACUCCGGGAAUAAGCAUCGGCUAACUCCGUGCCAGCAGCCGCCGUAACAC
rnacentral:rRNA from 1 species